GCUGUCAUCUUGGAUCCUGGCCUUUCCCCCAGUGCAGCCAGGUGGAGCACACCAGCCCGGAGACCCAGUCAGUCUGAAUUCUAAUCCUGCCUCCACCCUGUAGUGACUUGGACAAGUAAAACUUCACUGGUCUCAGUUUCCUCAUCUGUGAAGUGACACAAUGACAAGCCGGGCCUCCAAGGACUGUGAAGAUUCAGUCAAUUACCUGUUAGUCUUCAAGCAACCUGCCGAAAUAAACACCAUGAUUUCCAUUUUAUAGAGGGAGAAAGAGAAAAAGUUGAGUUCUCUAAGGUCACAGAAUAAAGAGCAAGCAGGAGCAACCCGAGUGGAGCUGCCUGCAGCCCAUGCACUUGCCGGUACAACCUGGAGUCCCUGGCGGAGGAUAUGGGAUGCACCUUAACUUAGCAGAUGUCUUUGGAGCACUGGUUAGACCAACCCCAUGCUAGGCACCAAGGAUCCAGGAUCUCACCAAGCAGAAGAGGGGCCAGAUGACAAUCGAGGAACCAGAACCUCAUUGCAAGUAUGAGAAGAGCUGAAGGGAAGAGUGAAACUAGACACAGAGAGAUGUCAGCCCCAGAGACCCAGGGACACCACCUCAAAUGGGUCAUGGGUCAAAGUCAUGGGAAAUCACCUAAGUUUUGAGUGGCAAAAUAAGGGUAAAUGUUGGGAAGAUCACUCCACUUGGAAGGAAUGGCCGGUGCAAAGACCUUGGGGCAUGAUCUACAGAAAGGUGACUUCGGGUUGGUGAGAUGGCUCAGUGGGUAAAGGUGCUUGCCACCAAGCCUGACGUCCUGAGUUUGAUCCUUGAGGUCCAUAUAGUGGAAGGAGAAAAUUGACUCCUGUCAAUUGUCCUUUGACUGGGCCACAUGCAUCCCAUGGCACAUGUGUGGCCUAGCCCUCCUCAAGCAAAUAAAUCAAUAAAUUCAAUGGCAAAAUUAAAAAGAAGGAGGGCUCAG